AUGUCAACCAGCACGUUUGCAACCUCGGCCCGCGCGCUCCAGCACAUCAUUUCAACAGCCGCGGCCACGAGCCCUCGCCGUCCGUCGUCUCUAGGCUUCGCCGGCCGAGUUCCGAGCGUCCUUAUUAGGUCCUCCCGCUGCAAGCUGGACGUCUCCGCGGCGGCCGUCUACAUGUUGAAGCUGGUGACCCCGGGAGGGCGGGAGUACGAGCUCGAGGCGCCGGACGACGCCUACAUCCUCGACACGGCCGAGAGCGCCGGCGUGGAGCUGCCGUGCGCGUGCCGCGCCGGGGCGUGCUACAAAUGCGCCGGCAAGGUUGAGGCCGGCACGGUCCACCGGGCGGACGGCUCGCUCCUCCACGGCAGGCUGCAGGAGGAAGGCUACGUGCUCAUCUGCGUGUCGUGCCCCAGGUCCGACUGCGUCAUACAUACCCACAAGGAGGACGACCUUUGGUGA
rnacentral:rRNA from 1 species